rnacentral:lncRNA from 1 species
AAAUCGCGUGGAAAUUAUCCUCUAAUUUAGGCUUACCUUUUCUUUUAGUUCAAGCUUAUCCAUCGGAAUGUCCGAUAUGAUUACAAUAUCCUCAAGACCCCUUAAAAUUUCCUCAAGAUCACUUGCUAGAAGUCAAGCUAAUGAACUACAAGGUUUGCAAGCUAUGUUCACCAAAAGGGAGAUAUUGGAGCUUGUUUAGAUGCCUACCAAGGGAUGCUAUGUGUUGAAGACCUAAAUGGGGACCAAAAUGACAAGGAGGCCCAUGGACUUUACUAUUUGGUAUGACUAGGGAUGUGACGACCCACCACUAUGGUUACUGGACGUUCCUAAGACCGUCCCAAGAAGCCCAGGGUAGUAGCACAGUGGAUGUGGGCGACAAAAAAUGGACUGCCAGCUGUUACUGGCCAUCCUAGCUAGACAGAUUAGCCACUUCGUGGGCUUUAACUCUAUUGUUGAUAAG